rnacentral:rRNA from 1 species
AGCUUGCUACGAACUGUUUUAGCGGCGGACGGGUGAGUAACGCGUGAGCAACCUUUCCCAGACAGGGGAAUAACACACCGAAAGGUGUACUAAUACCGCAUAAGACCACGGUUUCACAUGGAACUGAGGUAAAAGAUUUAUCGGUUUGGGGUGGGCUCGCGUCCGAUUAGGUAGUUGGUGAGGUAACGGCCCACCAAGCCGACGAUCGGUAGCCGACCUGAGAGGGUGAUCGGCCACAUUGGGACUGAGACACGGCCCAAACUCCUACGGGAGGCAGCAGUGGGGAAUAUUGGGCAAUGGAGGAAACUCUGACCCAGCAACGCCGCGUGGAGGAAGAAGGUUUUCGGAUCGUAAACUCCUGUCCUUGGAGACGAGUAGAAGACGGUAUCCAAGGAGGAAGCCCCGGCUAACUACGUGCCAGCAGCCGCGGUAAUACGUAGGGGGCAAGCGUUGUCCGGAAUAAUUGGGCGUAAAGGGCGCGUAGGCGGCUCGGUAAGUCUGGAGUGAAAGUCCUGCUUUUAAGGUGGGAAUUGCUUUGGAUACUGUCGGGCUUGAGUGCAGGAGAGGUUAGUGGAAUUCCCAGUGUAGCGGUGAAAUGCGUAGAGAUUGGGAGGAACACCAGUGGCGAAGGCGACUAACUGGACUGUAACUGACGCUGAGGCGCGAAAGUGUGGGGAGCAAACAGGAUUAGAUACCCUGGUAGUCCACACUGUAAA